AUUGAACGCUGGCGGCAUGCCUUACACAUGCAAGUCGAACGGCAGCACGGGAGCAAUCCUGGUGGCGAGUGGCGAACGGGUGAGUAAUAUAUCGGAACGUGCCCAGUCGUGGGGAUAACGUAGCGAAAGCUACGCUAAUACCGCAUACGAUCUAUGGAUGAAAGCGGGGGAUCGCAAGACCUCGCGUGAUUGGAGCGGCCGAUAUCAGAUUAGGUAGUUGGUGAGGUAAAGGCUCACCAAGCCGACGAUCUGUAGCUGGUCUGAGAGGACGACCAGCCACACUGGGACUGAGACACGGCCCAGACUCCUACGGGAGGCAGCAGUGGGGAAUUUUGGACAAUGGGCGCAAGCCUGAUCCAGCAAUGCCGCGUGCAGGAUGAAGGCCUUCGGUUGGUU
rnacentral:rRNA from 1 species